AACGAACGCUGGCGGCAUGCCUAACACAUGCAAGUCGAACGAGACCUUUGGGUCUAGUGGCGCACGGGUGCGUAACGCGUGGGAAUCUGCCCUUGGGUUCGGAAUAACAGUGAGAAAUUGCUGCUAAUACCGGAUGAUUUCUUCGGACCAAAGAUUUAUCGCCCAGGGAUGAGCCCGCGUAGGAUUAGCUAGGUGGUGGGGUAAUGGCCUACCAAGGCGACGAUCCUUAGCUGGUCUGAGAGGAUGAUCAGCCACACUGGGACUGAGACACGGCCCAGACUCUUACGGGAGGCAGCAGUGGGGAAUAUUGGAAAAUGGGCGCAAGCCUGAUCCAGCAAUGCCGCGUGAGUGAUGAAGGCCUUAGGGUUGUAAAGCUCUUUUACCAGGGAUGAUAAUGACAGUACCUGGAGAAUAAGCUCCGGCUAACUCCGUG
rnacentral:rRNA from 1 species